AAGCUAUGAAGUCUCAACCUAUCUUGAUUAAAUAGUGUUGAUUGACAGGCCAACAUAAGAGUACCUGUUUAUGAGUCAUGUAAUGUCAGAUUACAUAGCUAAUAUUUUUAUAUUAAGGUGUGAUAUGGCUUGUAAUUUUCUGACCAUAUAUAACUGGAGACACUCAAGAUAGCAAAUUAUGAACCGUGAAAGAGCAAAAUGUGGGCAGGACAAUUGAAGCACCAAGUUAGAUUGGUCGCGUCGGGCUAAUGACGACAGCAUAUUCCGCAUCAUGGAGGAGAGCCAUCAUACUCUGUAGGCUUACUUUGCAAGUAGAGCUAAUGUUUUGAGCCCGUUGAGAAAACAGUAGCAAUAGUUAUAUAAUACUUAUUUAUUCUUUUGGAUACAUUUUUCCAAAGUCCACAGUCUUUUCUAGCUUUUUGUCCCAGAAAUAACUGAAUUUGAUUCAUAUAUUGUAUAGCAUGUCAAAAUAUCAGUACAUUUGUCAGGCAAAAUAAACAAUUUUAACAGCUAUCUAAAAUACUUUCCAAUUUCAUGUCAUCUUGGAAUAUGCCUAUGCUGUCAGGGAAGAAAAAAUCUAUUAAUGGAAUAACCUGGUCAUUCAGUACAUCCAGGUAGUCAGCUGACCUUAUUCUUUGAGCACAUAUUGUUGCUGAACCUGACCAGCUCAUCAGUCCAAGUGGCAACCUUUUUCUUGGCCAGGCAGUGUAGUAUAUAAUAUUAAAUACAAGUGUGCUUUUGUAAUUCCACUGCAUGCUUUUCUGUCCACCAUUCCACUAUACUUAUAGCCUAUAUGUAAGUUUUUUCUUAUUUAUUGUAUUUUUUACUUUAUGUUGUCUCCUGUUUGUAUUGACUCCUAUUUAGCUCUGUUCACUCUAAUUAUAUUUUAUAUUAUAAAUAUUUUAUAUAUCGCAAUGUGGUAUAAUGUAUAUUUUAUCUUUCUUACUUUUCUCAAUUAAACCACAGUAAAUACCAAGCAAUUUUAUCUUGCCACCAUAGGUUGUCUUUCUAUACAUAGACUAUAAGGUGACAACAUUUAUUUGGCAAUAAAUUCACUUUAUAAAUUAACUCUUUACUAAUAAAUGGUCUAUUGGUCCAGUACAUGAACCACUUACAUCUUGCUGGUGAGAGCCAGAUGUUUCCCCUUAUUAGCUGAGGAGAGACAAGAGAACAUGGAUUAGCCUAAGUCAGUAACCAGGACAGUAGGGUAAAAUCAAUUCAAAAUGAAUCUCUACAUACAUGCGAGUGAAGGGAUGAGGAAACAACACAUAGAGGAGGUGGCUGGUUUGAUGCACAGUAAGAUCUGGAGAUGAAGAGUGGGAAUGUAGUAUGUAGAGACAAAAUAGCUGGACCGGUAACUAGAGUGGGGAAGCUGGUUUUCUGGGUUGUUACAUGCCUACACUCUAGGCAUGAUAUGAGCAAUGACAUGAUAUGGGAGUAGGACUUACACAAAUUGUCUGUAGUCGGCAGCUUGACUUUGAUGGAAGCAGAAACAUGAAAAGGCAAGGUAACGAGAAAUAUGUGCACAUUUUACUUAAGAAACCAAAUUCUUUUUGUGCCUUUUUCCUCCUGCUCUUUUUUGAUGGAUACGCAUACUAUUCCAUCACUUCAGUCCCUGGUUCAUGCAGUCACCCGUUGCUGCUCAACUGUCCCUGCCCAGCUUCUGUUGAUAUUAGUAAUAACACAUUUAACUAUGUCACUGUCCAGCUGUGCUUGAUUUUUGGUAAUUGGAGUCAUACUAAACACGACCACAUUAUGUUUCAUUUGUUGAUCUACUAUAAACCUGACCUCUUCUUUGCCUAUCAUGUUUAUUGGACUCGGACUGCAGUUUGGACUUAACUUUUGCCUGUUCCCCUUAAAGAAUGUAAUUCGGAUGUUUUGGCUUUUCUUGAUUAUAAGAUUUUUACUUGGGUAUUGUGUUGCCUACUCAUACCUUUGUUGAAAGUAAUAAAAAAGAGGUUUUUAUUUUUAAUAAAGAGAUCCAUUCGAAGACACUAUGUAGUUUACAGUGAUUUCGUAGAUAGGUUUUGUUGACCACUUCCCCAAGUUAGGUAUAUGAUUUUCCUUUCAGUUCUGCAGGUGUUGGUGAAGUGUUUUAUUAGCUGUACAGAUUGUACAGGUGUCUACGUAUCUUAUGAUGUCCUGCUGCAGGCUCAGCUACCAGAACCUUUUUGCAAUCAGUAUUGCUGUCCUAGUUCUUGUUGCCACAGUACGAAUGCCAAUCCCCUGAGUGGCCACGUUGAGUGAGACAAAGAAGCUUUGCUCCUGUCAGUCUGUGAUAUGCAGAGGGAAUAAAAAUGAACAUGAUAUACUCUGCUAACUUUUUAGCUGUGGAGCAGCGCUUGUCAUUCUGCUUCUCACAGUGCACACCUGCCAAACAAAGAAAGACCUGCACACCUGAUAUACCCAAAGAAUCAAUUGAGUGGAGCAAAAUGACACUAAAAGGUAACAACUAGGCAGGCACAUAACCUGGUUGGUGAAGGACUUAGCUAACUGUAUCUCAAUGGAAUGGAAAAAUGAAUGUCAUGGAUUCAAUAAAUCAAAGCAUUUCUUCAUCUGGAUCCAAUUCUUUGCAAAAAAGGUAAGGUGAGUCACUGAUUCACACUGAGAUCAGUGGUUUGUAUUUUGCUGUCCACUGUGUUAUGACUGAUUGGCCGUGUUCAUAUACUUGGUUGCAAGCUGUAUUGUUUGAAGGCAAAAUGAGUCGAUUUGACAAAACAGGUUAAAGCGACUAAUGAAAACUGUACAGUAAAAGAGGAAUUGUUGGCACAGGACUGGGAUUUAAUUUACAAAGAAAAAGAUAUUUAAACAAGUCUGCAUGCAUUUGUAAUGUACUCCCUUUAUAACCCCACUUAGAAUUUUCACCUGCCUACAUAAUAAGUCCUGAACAAGGAAGGACUAGGGGAAAAGCAGUCACUGUAGUUGUACUGUAGUUGACCAUGUCAUUGUUCAUGGUGGCAAUGAAGGAGGGUGGACAAUGAGUGCAGCCACAUUUGAGUGGCUUCACUGUUGCCUCCAUCAUCAGAACUUUCAGGGAGCAAAACCGGUCACUGUCCUUACAGUAAGGCUGUCUGUACAGUAACAUUAGAGUACAGAAACUGUGUCACUCUAACGUUACUGUAGAGUGUACUGUACAUUACUGUACCAUUGCCUGGCUAGUGUAAUAUAGCCUGUGAUGAGGUUUUUGGGUUCAUGUUUGAGGGCUUGUGAGUGACGGCAAAGGUUGGCUUUGCACCAUUGAAGAUAACCUUUGGAGCAAAACCAUUCAUUUUACAAUUUUUAUUGAUUGCUUUGCAGUCGUUCAAUGAAACGCCACAUUUAUAAAACAGUUACAGUUUUUGCCUAUUGCUUACACUAAAAGUGAAUGCUUAGAAAAAGGUUUACACUUUGGUCUCAAUUCUGUAACACACUUAUUGCAAAACACUACACACUAGACACUUUGUUAACAACCCCAACCACCUGUUGUCAUUGAGAAAACCCUUUGCAAUUGUAGUCACUCACAUACACAUCUGAAAGCACCUACACAAAAACAUGACACAAAUCAGUCUGAGCCUCAGCUCUUCAAAUAGGCCCCAGGUCAGAUGUGUGGAGAACUAUACAAACAUGGAGACAGUAAAAGUCCACACGCACGCACGCACACACGUACUUUUUUACAUUGUUUUCUUCUUUACCUUUUGUUGCUUAAUUUCUGUAAGAAUGUUUUCAAACUCAUAAUGGAAACAACUAACUCCAGACUGGUUGCGUUGACAAGGGAAGUACAAUAUGUAAAAACAAGUUUACAGCUCACACAGAAGGAAGUGGACGAUAUAAAAAUUUAAAAAAGCUAAAGAAAUGAAGCGUUGUGAUGCAGUGCAGUCUCAUGUCUUCAAAGUUUGCAAGGGCAUGCUGACUAUUACCGGAAAAAUUGAGUAUCUGAAGGUCAAUUCAGACGUAACAACCUGGUUGUCAUUGCCAUUAAUUGAAGAAGAAACGGAUUUGCCUCCACUCGUCAGUUUACUCCUGUCAGCUCCAUUUAAUUCGGUAAGUAUUCUUGCCUAAAAUAAUUCGUAUAUUGAUUAAUUCAUAAGUAUAUGCUUUAUAUUGUCAUUGGAUUAGUCAGCAUUUGUUCAUCAACUGACAUGUAACUAUUUGCUGUCGUGCUGCGUCAACUUCAGCUACACUAAUGAAAAAAGUCCAAGCUGGCGCCAUUACUGUUACUACGCAGCUAAGUUAUUUAGCAUUAUUCGUAGUGGUAAGCAGACAGUAAUAGUGAAAGAAUACACUGUAGGUUCGGUUUGUACUCAAAUGUUUUGUAAAUGUCCCAGAAUUAAACUUAUUAGACGGUAAAAUUGUAUCUAUUGGAAAAACUGAGCGCAGGUGAAUGCUAGCAAGACUAGCAAGGUUUUCUGCUUUUUAAAAAAAAAAUCAAGGAGAGGUACCAGUAAGUAGCUGCGGUCGGUUUCAGACAGGAGUUCACUUUAUCGGGCUUGGGCUUUAGUUGGUCAGUCACCGCUGGUGAGGACGUGUUCUUUGAGCGAGCGCGUGACUAGCCCGCUAAAAGGGCUCCGGCCAUUUUUCUGUGAAAUUAAGCCGUAAUGUCUGUGUGCUACUCAAACAUCUCUACUGCUUCUGCUGCAGAACCGCUUUUGACGCUAUAUUGCCUCAGCAAAGACUUGUUCUGUGAUUGAAAAGACAAGCUCCAUCAUGUCAUGGACUCAGUUUUUGUGUGAAUGGUGAUGCAGAAUGUGGCGUUGUAAGGCCUGCCCCUUAGUUAGUUCCAAAUAUUAAGGCAUGGCUAUUAUGGUAAUAAUAAUUGUUUUCCAUGUGUGUAUAAAAGCUGCUCAUACACUUUUAGAACAUAAAAUGGGCACAAGGGUUUUGUAUAUUUAGUGAACAUAGUCCUGGAACUGCAUAAAGUCUUAUUGCAUUUUAUGUGAUUAGUUAUUUGGCUGAACCCCCCUCAGCCAAAUAAUAAACAAGACUGGCUAUGGAUACCGACUCCGGAACGGGGCCACCAUAAGUCACCUCCUCUACAUGGAUGACAUCAAGCUGUACGCUAAGAAUGAGCGAGACAUCGACUCGCUGAUCCACACCACAAGGAUCUACAGCUCGGACAUCGGGAUGUCAUUCGGGCUCGAGAAAUGUGGGAGGAUGGUGACAAAGAGAGGCAAGGUAAUCCACACAGAAGGGGUCUCACUCCCAGAAUGAACAAUAGCAGACAUUGUGGACAAUUACAAGUACCUUGGAAUACCACAGGCGAACGGCAACCUUGAACAGGCAACAAGGAAUGCGGCAACAGCCAAAUACCUCCAACGAGUAAGGCAAGUCCUAAGAAGCCAGCUCAAUGGCAAGAACAAAUACCGGGCAAUAAACAGCUACGCCCUGCCAGUGAUCAGAUACCCUGCGGGAAUAAUAAGGUGUCCAAAGGAAGAGAUACAGACCACAGAUGUUAAGACACGAAAGCUUCUCACCAUGCAUGGAGGGUUCCACCCCAAAUCCAGCACCCUGAGACUAUACGCUAGCCGCAAGGAAGGAGGCCGAGGACUAGUGAGCAUGAGAGCCACUAUCCGGGAUGAAACAUGCAAGAUCCAUAAGUACAUCAAGGAUAAGGCCCCGACAGAUGACGUGCUGAGUGAAUGACUCAGGCAGUGGAGAACAGAGGAUGAGAUGCUGGAAGAGGGACCAUCAUGGGAGGACAAGCCCUUACACGGGAUGUACCACCGGAACAUAACUGAAGUGGCUGAUCUCAACAAAUCCUACCAAUGGCUUGAAAGGGCUGGGCUGAAGGACAGCACAGAGGCACUCAUCCUGGCUGCACAGGAGCAGGCCCUGAGCACCAGAGCCAUAGAGGCCCAGAUCUACCACACCAGACAAGACCCAAGGUGUAGACUGUGCAAAGAGGCCCCUGAGACGAUCCAGCACAUAACUGCAAGGUGUAAGAUGCUGGCAGGGAAAGCAUACAUGGAACGCCAUAACCAAGUGGCUGGCAUAGUAUACAGGAACAUCUGCGCGGAGUAUGGACUGGAAACCCCAAGGUCAAAGUGGGAAACACCUCCCAAGGUAGUAGAGAAUGAGGGAGCCAAGAUCCUGUGGGACUUCCAGAUACAGACAGACAGAAUGGUAAUGGCGAACCAACCAGACAUUGUGGUGGUGGACAAAGAGCAGAGGAAAGCCGUAGUGGUGGAUGUGGCAAUACCAAGCGAUGGCAACAUCAUGAAAAAAGGAACAUGAGAAACUAGAGAAAUACCAAGGGCUCAGAGAAGAACUGGAGAAGGCUUGGUGAAGGCCACAGUGGUGCCUGUGGUGAUUGGAGCACUGGGGGCAGUGACCCCCAAACUGGAGGAGUGGCUACAACAGAUCCCUGGAAAAACAUCCAACAUCUCAGUCCAGAAAAGUGCAGUCCUAGGAACAGUAGGGAUACUGCGCAGAACCCUCAAGCUCCCUGGCCUCUGGUAGAGGACCCGAGCUUGGAAAGUGGAUGAGACCACCCACGGAGGGUGAGAAUAGAGUGUGUAUAUAUAUAUAUAGAGAGAGAGAGAUUAUAUUGAGACAAGAUCACAACCUCACAAUUGUUUUCAUCCUUGCCACUGACAAUAUCACUAAAAUGCUAUAUAUUUAUUUGUUUUUAAUCUUGGAUAAUGACAUCGAUGCCUCAGAAAGUGUGUCAUGAAAGGACUUAGCAUAUACCUUAACGAGGAUCCUAAUGGUCUACUACAGGAGUACACGGACAUGACUGAGGCCAACACCAAGAGCAAUCAAGAGAACAACAGUGGAGAUGUUGCCAGAGAGACUCAUACCAGUGACUGUUCGGAUAUUGGAGUAAUCCUUGAGGGUGUGGUGAUACUUACUGUAAAGAUCUGGACAACGUGGCCCUCACAUCUGCCUUGCUGUUUGGACUUUUUUUAUGUCUUUUAAAUGUGAAGUACCUAAAAAGCUUCAAUACACCUUUUUAAAGCUAUUCAAAAUGGAGUUAGAUGAAGUAAAACUGUCAAAGAAGGUUCAAAGCUUGGAAACUAAACUUCACUAAUGGGACAGUCAGCAUUCAUGUUCCUGGAGCACUGUAGCUUUGAGACCAAGAACAUUUUGAGUAGGUUGGAUAACCUCUAGUUCUGCAUACUGAAUACUGUAGUUCUUUUAAAACCUAUCUAAAGUAUGUGAUGUUUUAGUAAUAACUGUUUGUUCCUUAAAUUUUGAAUUAAUCAUCAAUUUGCUUUUGUACAGUUAAAAUUACAUUGCAGUUAUUUGCAUUUGAUAAAUCUUUGUAUUGGUGCCUUUUAAGGUGCCCUUGGUAUCUGUUCUACAGUAUGUGGUCAUGUGACAUUAUGCAUUAAAAGUGUAGACAAAAAUAAAAUGCAUUGUUAAAACUGUA